CGGCGGACGGGUGAGUAACACGUGGAUAACCUACCUAUAAGACUGGGAUAACUUCGGGAAACCGGAGCUAAUACCGGAUAAUAUAUUGAACCGCAUGGUUCAAUAGUGAAAGACGGUUUUGCUGUCACUUAUAGAUGGAUCCGCGCCGCAUUAGCUAGUUGGUAAGGUAACGGCUUACCAAGGCGACGAUGCGUAGCCGACCUGAGGGGGUGAUCGGCCACACUGGAACUGAGACACGGUCCAG
rnacentral:rRNA from 1 species